UACGGAGGGUGCAAACGUUGCUCGGAAUCAUUGGGCGUAAAGCGCACGUAGGCGGUUCGUUAAGUCGGGUGUGAAAGCCCUGGGCUCAACCCGGGAAGUGCAUCCGAAACUGGCGAGCUGGAGUAUGGAAGAGGGUCGCGGAAUUCCCGGUGUAGAGGUGAAAUUCGUAGAUAUCGGGAGGAACACCAGUGGCGAAGGCGGCGACCUGGGCCGGUACUGACGCUGUAGCGCGAAAGCGUGGGGAGCAAACAGG
rnacentral:rRNA from 1 species